GACGAACGCUGGCGGCGUGCUUAACACAUGCAAGUCGAACGAUGAAGCGGUUCCUUGCACUCGUGGUUUAGUGGCGAACGGGCGAGUAACACGUGAGUAACCUGUCCUUUUCUUUGGGAUAACGUCUGGAAACGGCGGCUAAUACUGGAUAUUCAGGCUGCAUCGCUUGGUGGGGUUUGAAAAGGUUUUUUCUGGGGUUGGGUGGGCUCGCGGCUUAUCAGCUUGUUGGUGGGGUGGUGGCUUACCUAGGCUUUGACUAGUAGCCGGGCUGGGAGGGUGGCUGGGCGGAUGGGCACCGAGAUACGGCCCAGAAUACGGCGGGGGGCAGUAGUGGAGAAAAUUGUGGAAAGGACGAAAGUAUGAUGGGGCGACGGAUGCUGGAGGGUGGAGGCCGUGGGGUUGUGAACCGCGUUGUCUCGCGAAAAAGGCACAGAUGUGGCUGUGUUGAUGGUAGUGGGGGAAGAAGCGCCGGCUAACUACGUG
rnacentral:rRNA from 1 species